rnacentral:tRNA from 1 species
AGGGAUGUAGCGCCGUUUGGUAGCGCGCUUGUUUUGGGUACAAAAUGUCAUGGGUUCAAAUCAUGUCAUCCCUACCUAUUACUUAUCUUCUGAGCAGUAACGAGGGAUCAAUUGAGAUCAAUUAAUAAAAUGUGUACAUACAUAAUUAAAUAAAUAUUUCAUUUUUAUUUUUUAUAGUAUAUAUAUAUAUAUAUGCAAGAUAAAUUGGGGUUACAAAAUAUUUAUUGUGAUAAUAAAGCGCUCUUAGUUCAGCUUCGGUAGAACGUGGGUCUCCAAAACCCGAUGUCGUAGGUUCAAAUCCUACAGGGCGUG